ACCAAAAAAACAAAAAAAACCAAGAAAGGGCAGAGUGAAAACACCGCUUUUGGGUGAAGCGGCAGCAUGUUGUGUUGUUUUGCUUCAAUCGGUGGUGUGACAGGG